rnacentral:rRNA from 1 species
UACGGAGGGGGCGAGCGUUAUUCGGAAUUAUUGGGCGUAAAGGGCGCGUAGGCGGCUUGAUGUGUCAAAGGUGAAAUCCCUCGGCUCAACUGAGGAACUGCCUUUGAAACUGUCUGGCUUGAGGCCGGGAGAGGGUAGCGGAAUUCCCAGUGUAGCGGUGAAAUGCGUAGAUAUCAGGAGGAACACCGGUGGCGAAGGCGGGACUCUGGGCCGAUACUGACGCUGAGGAGCGAAAGCGUGGGGAGCAAACAGG